rnacentral:lncRNA from 1 species
CUGAAAGCAUGGAGAGAAAUUUCAAGAUCCCUUAAGGGGCACAGCUGAGCCUGGUCUAUGAUGGAGCCACAAUGAUGUGUUUGUUUAUCAGUGCCUAAUACUCUCCUUUGGAGCUAACCUGAAGAUUCAAGGAUUAAAAUAGGCAAACCUGGCAUAGCCCAAUCACAGAGCCUUUGUGGAAUGAUGGAAAAGCCUGAAAGGUCAGCUGGGGACUCAAGUGGUCUGGGAAGCCCUGUGGUCAGGCAGGCUUUGUAGACAACAACUUCUCUCCAUGGACAUUUAGUGGGUGCUGCCUGCAGAGCUCUCCGUUUGAGCAAGUCAAUAAUAACCUGAUACUGGGAGGGACUGAGAGCCUUCAGAUACUAAGGAACUCUGUUGCUUGGAGACCUGCAUUUUUCUACCUGUGCUCAAAACAGUGGACAUUUUUAAUGCAGCCAACAAUGAUGAAGUAG